CUGGUCCUGCUGCUGCAGUUCCAAUUCCCUGCCAACAGAUGUCAGCCUUUCCAGAUGAUAGUCUCUGGAGCGGUGGAAAGAAAGCAGCAGGUCCUUUGCCUCGGGGAAAGCUUUUUGUAGGUCAGCACCCUCUGGGGAGGUCAGAGCAUGUGAGAGGGGCCUGGCUGGCUGGUUCUGUUACCCCAACUUCUGGGCUGAAGCCCUGGUCAUGUGGCUGAAAGUAGAUGAAACCUGUCCUCCGGACUCCAGGAUCAUCACCGCCUGUUUUAUCUCCGCCUAUAUUUCCCUUUUGUCACCUGCUUUACUCUCCAGAGUUUCCUGGAAAACAUCCUCCCCACAGUCAGUGUGUCACUCUGUGUUUCACUUCCUAUUGUGAAGAGCAGGUUGACACAGAUGAGCAACAGAGGGGAGAUAAGGGUGGAGUGUUAUCUCCAGGUUGUGGUACCGGCUCACCUGAUCUGACCUGAGAGGAGAAACCGCUGCGUGUCUGCAGAAGAAUCACCAACGUAUCGCAAUAGAAAAGGCUGAUGGAAACGGCAACAUUUGAAAAAAUAUUUCUGGAAAAGAGGAGAGUUUUAAAAAACUCUAACUCCUACCAACUUCUUUUAAAG